GCCCGGGGCAACCCCGGCGCCCCCCGAGACGGUGCGAACCACGGUGAAACGACGGAUCGUCGGCCCCGCGCCGGCGACUCGCCGAAUGAGUUUCUGACCUAUCAACUCGAGACGGCGGGGUAGAGGCCCGCCGCGGUAACGACGGGUAACGGGGAAUCAGGGUUCGAUUCCGGAGAGGGAGCCCCGAGAAACGGCUACCACUUCCAAGGAAGGCAGCAGGCGCGCAACUUACCCUAAUCUCGAUUCGAGGAGGUAGUGACAAGAAAUACCGAUGCGGGACCCUACGGGUGCCGCGUUCGGAAUGAGUACGAUUCGAACCACCUAACGAGAACGAUCGGAGGGCAAGUCUGGUGCCAGCAGCCGCGGUAAUUCCAGCUCCAAUAGCGUACGUUAAAGUUGCUGCAGUUAAAAAGCU
rnacentral:rRNA from 1 species